UGGGGAAUUGUUCGCAAUGGGCGCAAGCCUGACGACGCAACGCCGCGUGGAGGAUGAAGAUCUUCGGGUCGUAAACUCCUGUCGAGUGGGAAGAAUAGUUUCCGGGCGAAUAUCCCGGGAGCCUGACGGUACCACUAAAGGAAGCCCCGGCUAACUCCGUGCCAGCAGCCGCGGUAAUACGGGGGGGGCAAGCGGUGUUCGGAAUUACUGGGCGUAAAGGGCUCGUAGGCGGCCAACCAAGUCAGACGUGAAAUCCCUCGGCUUAACCGGGGAACUGCGUCUGAUACUGGAUGGCUUGAAUCCGGGAGAGGGAUGCGGAAUUCCAGGUGUAGCGGUGAAAUGCGUAGAUAUCUGGAGGAACACCGGUGGCGAAGGCGGCAUCCUGGACCGGCAUUGACGCUGAGGAGCGAAAGCCAGGGGAGCAAAC
rnacentral:rRNA from 1 species